rnacentral:rRNA from 1 species
AGCGAACGCUGGCGGCAGGCCUAACACAUGCAAGUCGAACGAACCUUUCGGGGUUAGUGGCGGACGGGUGAGUAACACGUGGGAACGUGCCUUUAGGUUCGGAAUAACUCAGGGAAACUUGUGCUAAUACCGAAUGUGCCCUUCGGGGGAAAGAUUUAUCGCCUUUAGAGCGGCCCGCGUCUGAUUAGCUAGUUGGUUGAGGUAAUGGCUCACCAAGGCGACGAUCAGUAGCUGGUCUGAGAGGAUGAUCAGCCACAUUGGGACUGAGACACGGCCCAAACUCCUACGGGAGGCAGCAGUGGGGAAUCUUGCGCAAUGGGCGAAAGCCUGACGCAGCCAUGCCGCGUGAAUGAUGAAGGUCUUAGGAUAGUAAAAUUCUUUCACCGGGGACGAUAAUGACGGUACCCGGAGAAGAAGCCCUGGCUAACUUCGUGCCAGCAGCCGCUGUAA